UUGGAAGGACCUGACGCUGGCGAGGACCCUUGUGAGGCCUUCGUCUGCGUUCCUUGAAGACCGCGCGUCCAUGCCUCCCUUCUCCCCGUCGGGAUACGGAUCGGUGGAGAAGAUCUACGUGGUGUGCGCUCAGGAUGAGAUCAUCAGGGAAGGGUUUCAGCGCUGGAUGAUCGAGAACAACCCAGUGAAAGAGGUGAGAGUGCUGGAGGAUGCCGACCAUAUGCCCAUGUUCUCAACCCCGAAGCAGCUGUUUCAGUGCCUCUCGGAUGUUGCCGAUGCCUAUGCUUGAUCCUCCCGGGUUUUACGAAUACUGUGGCCAUAGUAAAGAAGAUAGUUGGACGUGUGUUACUGCUAUGAUCGAUGCAUCAAGGUUUGCUAUCAGCAACGGUGUAUUUGUUUCAGUUAUCAAAUCAUGGACAGCUGAGAAGACAAGAAAACAAAUAGGUUCUGUCAAAAUUAGGUUGUAAUGCAUAGUGUCGUAGAUAUUUCUCCCCGCCAACUCUGAUCACAUUGCGUGAAUCUCCUAAUUAAAAUAAAUAAAUAAAUUUCUCGUUUCAAUAUUUAAAAAUUCUCACCAGAGUUUUAACUUUUUAAAGUAAUAAAAGUAACCCUCCGAUAAUUAUUAUCUAUUUUUCUUUAAAAUACUCCUAUUAAAAACUGUUAUAUUCUUUUCCUAAAUUUUUAAUAAACCAACCCAUAUAAUUAAACCGAUUCAAACAAUCUAAAACUUUAACCGGUUCAAAUAAAUUAUACUAAAUAAUUUACUAAUAUUUAUUCAUUUAAUUUAUUAAAAUAAUAAUAAUAAAAAUAUUUCUAUAUUUUGAGAAAAAUCGUCUAAUUUGUUGAGGAAAAUUCUCCCUCUAAUAAAUAGGAGAGAGACAUGUUAGUAGUUUCUUUACUUGUACUUGCCAUAGCACCUCCAAAUGAAUUAUGGAGAAGGAACGGGCGACGGGAGCUGCAACAAGAAGCACAUAAUUCUCGUCCAUGGCGCUUGCCAUGGAGCAUGGUCUUGGCACAAGGUGACGACCCAGUUGAGGUCCGAUGGGUACCAGGUUACGGUGCCCGACCUUGCGGCCUCCGGCGUCGACGAGCGGCGGUUUCAGGACCUGCGAUCGUUCAUCCACUACUCCCAGCCGCUCCUGGACAUAUUGGCCUGCCUCCCCCCUGGUGAGAGGGUCAUUCUGGUAGGCCACAGCCUCGGAGGCCUCAACAUAGCUCUGGCUAUGGACAGGUUCCCCGAGAAGAUCGCCGCCGCGGUCUUCGUCACCGCCUUCAUGCCGGAUUCCGUCAACCCGCCCUCCUACGUCAUCGACAAAGUAUCGCUGUUCGAAUUCUGAUGCACAUUUCAGACCUGUUCUUAUAAUUUCAUGAAUACCAUACUAAGUUCCACCGUCUGUGACUCGAAUUAGGAACGCGUUGACUGGCUUGCUUUCCUGUACAGCAUAAAGAGGAGAAACCCAUGUUAAAUUGGGGCGACACACAAUUUGGCUUGUACGGGGACAAAGACGAAGGUCCCGCUUCCAUGCUAUUUGGCGCCGAGUUCUUAUCCAAGCUUUACACACGUAGCCCACCCGAGGUACGUAUGCAUGCACAACCACUAUUCAUCUUCUGCGACUCAUUCUACUGCUAGGGCUGAACGACAGUUGUGCAACCAUGAAAUGCUUGGAAGGAUCUGACGCUGGCGAGGACCCUUGUGAGGCCUUCUUCCGUGUUCCUCGAAGACCUCGCGUCCAUGCCUCCCUUCUCCCCGUCGAGAUACGGAUCGGUGGAGAAGAUCUACGUGGUGUGCGCUCAGGAUGAGAUCAUCAGGGAAGGUUUUCAGCGGUGGAUGAUCGAGAACAACCCAGUGAAAGAGGUGAGAGUGCUGGAGGACGCCGACCACAUGCCCAUGUUCUCAACCCCGAAGCAGCUGUUUCAGUGCCUCUCGGAUGUUGCCGAUGCC
rnacentral:lncRNA from 1 species